rnacentral:rRNA from 1 species
CUAAACAUCCGUAGCUUGCUUAAUAAGUUUCCUGUGAAAUUCUGUCUCUUAAGGGCAGAGCGCGCAGGAAGUACUGUUGAGCUAGAGACUGGAAGACGUGAAAAGUACGUUCGAAGUAGCGGUAAAAUGCGUUAAUCUUGAGCGGACUCACAAUAGCGAAGGCAUUUCACGAGGACAGUUCUGACAGUAAGGGAUGAAGGCUAGGGGCGCGAAAGGGAUUAGAUACCCCUGUAGUCCUAGCAGUAAACACUGCACACUAAACAUCAGUACCUCUUCGGGAGGCAUUGGUGCUGUAGCGAAGGCGAAGAGUGUGCUACCUGGGAAGUAUAGUCGCAAGGCCGAAACUUAAAGGAAUUGGCGGGGGAGCACAA